AUGGGGAGAGCUGGACCAGGAGACAUGAGUGAAGAGAGGAGGCGGUGUGAGAAUGUGGAGGAUAUGGCACUCAUCCAUGUGACUGUGUCGCACUGGGGCUUCAUAAUCUAUGAACUCCUGAGUCCACUGAGUUCUAGGAACUAUGGAACAGUUAGCACAAAUACCAGUGUAUUAAAGAAGAGGAGGGGAGGAGAAGAAAAAAGAGAAAGAGAAGAAGAAGAAAAGAAAGAGGAAGAAGAUAAAGGAGAAGAGAUGUCAAAAAAGGAUAAUUAGACAAAAAAUAAACCAACCACCUAUAUUAUUUAAUAAAUUAUG
rnacentral:lncRNA from 1 species